UAGAAACAUCGAUGAGAGAGACAUCGAUCAGCUGCCUCCUGCACAUCUCCUACUGGGGAUGUGCCCACAACCCAGGUACAUGCCCUUGACCGGAAUCGAACCCGGGACCUUUCAGUCCCCAAGCCGACGCUCUAUCCACUGAGCCAAACCGGUUUCGGCUGGGUUUUUUUUUUUUUAUUGAUUUCAGAGAGGAAGGGAGAGGGAAAGAGAGAGAGAAACAUCAGUGAUGAGGAAGAAUCAUUGAUCGGCUGCCUCCUGCACACCCCACACUGGAGAUCAAGCCCAUAACCCCAGGCAUGUGCCCUUGACCAGAAUCGAACCCGAGACCCUUCAGUCUGCAGGCUGACGCUCUAUCCAUUGAACCAAACCAGCUAGGGCAGGUUAUUGUUUUUUAAAAGGACAUAAUCCCUGUAAAAUUUAAAUGUAAUCUCCUAAUCCAAUCCGGUCUUCCUAGUGACUUGUUUGUAGUUUCAAGUGUGUUAAGAAAAUAUCCUCUAAAGAUCUUAUAUUGCUGUGCUUUCUAAAAGACCAGAAAAAUUCUGGCCACUAUCAGUAUGUGUUUUAGAAAUAAGUUAUUUUCUAGCUUUUAGUUAUUUCAAGAGAGAGAUAAUAGGAUUGAUGAUAGUACAACAAAAUUAUUUAAGACAUUAGGUGGUGCAAUUUGAAGAAAGAACAAAAGUUAAGAUGAAUACAGUCUGAAAAGUAAACCUGAUCAGUAAAAAUAAUGUAUAGAUAACAUUUACAGUGUUACCGUAACUCUGACAUCCUAGAAUUACAGAGUAGCUCUAAAGAACAGAACAGCCUGGCUGGUAUUGCUCACUGGUUAAGUGUUGACCCAUGAACCAGGAGGUCACCAGUUCGAGGUCACCGGUUUGAUUUCUGGUCAGGGCACUGCCCAGUUGUGGGCAUGUAGGAGGCAGCCAAUCGAUGUUUUUCUCUCAUCAAUGUUUCUGUCUCUUUACCCUCUCCCUUUCUCUCUCUCUAAAAAAAUCAAUUAAAAUGUUUGAACAGAACAUUUGAAAGGAGUUUUAGUGUUAUGAGUGAGAACAUAAAAACAUCUAAGAGUUCCUAGCACAUGGGUUAUGGUAAAAGUUGAAUCCAUACAUAAAUGCUUACAUUGGAAAGUUACAGAACCAAUGACAAAAUUGAGAUUGCUUAAAAUAAACUUUUGAAAAGUUUUAAGUCAGUAAUUAUUCACUAGAUUAGGUUUGAUCCUAUAGACCAGUUUACUACUUGCAUCUUAGUGAUAAUUUCCAGACAGAACAUUAUCUUAAAGAGGCCAUAAUUUUGCCCAGCUGGUGUGGUUCAGUGGUUGAGUGUCAACCUAUGAACCGGGAGGUCCCGGGAGGUCCCAGGAGGUCAUGGUUCCAUUCCUGGUCAGGGCACAUGCCCACAUUGUGGGCUCCAUCCCCAGUGUGGCAUGCAGGAAGUAGCCGAUGAAUGAUUCUCUCUCAUCAUUGAUGUUUCUACCUCUCCCUCUCCCUUCCUCUCUGAAAUCAAUAAGAAAGUAUAUUUUUAAAAAAGAGGCCAUAAUUUUAACUCAUGAUAAUAGCUCUGCUCUUUUUUCCAGAUAUGAAUUUCUUUCUCAUUUUUUAACAGCUUUAUUGAGAUAUAAUUCAUAUACCAUACAAUUCAUCCAUUUAAAAUAUAUAAUUUAUUGGUUUCUUUAUAUUUACAGGGUUGUGCAGCUAUCAUCACAGUCUAAUUUUAGGACAUAUCAAUCACCCAAAAACAAAACCCUGUACUCAUUAUCAGUUGUUUCCCAUCCUGUCCCCCUAAGCAACCACUGAUUUUUUCUUAUGUAUAUAUAAAUUUUCCUUCAUAUAAGUGGAAUCAUAUAAUUUGUGGUUAUUUGUGACUGAAUUCUUUUACUUAGCAUAAUAUAUUCAGAUGUUGUAGCAUUUAUCAGAACUUCAUUUCUUUUUAUUGUUGGGUAAUAUUCCAUUGUGUGGAUAUACCAUAUUUUAUCUAACCAUUCAUCAGUUGAUGAACAUUUGGGUUGUUUUCACACUUUGGCUACUAUGGAUAAUGUUGCUGUGAACAUUCAUAUACAAGUUUUUGUAUAGAUAAAUGUUUUCAUGUCUUUUGUGUAUAUACCUAGGCAUGGAAUUACUGAAUCAUAUGGUAAACUAUGCUUUAACUUUCUGAGGAACUGCCAAACUGUUUCCAAAGUGGCUAUACAGAUAUGAUCUCUAGAUGCAAUCUGCCUUUUACUUCUAAUAAAGGAGAUUUGUCAUAUA